UGUCACUGAUAAAUCUAUAUUUUAACAUAUUAUUAAUUCAGACAGAUUUCCACAACACUGGAAACAAAAUAACAACUGUUCAUAUUCUUGAUCACUUGCAAACAUGUUGGUUUUCUGCACAUUUUUGUGAAGUAUACAGACUUGAAUAUGGUACAUUCAGAUUUUCCAAAGUAGAACUGCAAUACCAAUGUGGGCACAUUCGAGACAACAAGCUAGGCGUACUAGCUAAAGCUGGGACUAUAUUUUCUGCAACUGUAAGUCCGCUCAGGUCCCAAUGAUGUAAAUUUAGUGUGUGGGUCCGUGUGGAUGUCUGCACACCUGGCUGUUUUCUGUAACCUCACUGAAUUUACAUUGCAAUGCAUGAACUACGCAUGCUCACCAAACUAUCUGCAAAUCUGAUGUCUGAUUAAACCCACAAAUCAUUGUUUACCGAAGCUGUAUCACACGUAAAAAUGUGCACAUCAGUCUCAGUUUAAAGAAACUCUCACAAACUCUGCUGAUGUGAUGCUGCAAGAAUUUAUAACAAGUGAAGGAGGUGCUAUGACACACAAUCAGCAGUAGGCAGAUGCUUAGACUUCUUUUGGUCUGAAAAAUCCCAAGUCACGUUCAGAGACAUCAGGACAACAUAAGACUGGGAUUCAGACACAUCGUAGAUCUACUCGACUUUAACAGCUGUACUGUUUCAGAGACGUCAGUAUAUUAUGUAAGUAUUAUCCAUCACUGACAGAGAAUGAAAAUAAACAAAAUAUGUGAAAGUGGAAUUUGAGAGCUGUGUGCACGCAAAGUGUGCUCUAUCGUGUGCACCAAUCUCUGUGCACAAACUACUGUUUAUUAUCAGUUCGUGUCCUGUGUGUGUGUCAUGUAAUGAGCGACAACAGAGCCUGUCCUACCAACACUCCACCUUAACUUCCAUUAAAAUAUCGACGACAGAAAAAUGCAGGAUUCAGCUCUUAACAUUCGGAGGUGACCAGCUUCACACAACAGAGUUUCUCAUCCAGAUCAAGCUCACCGAAUCUGCUAAUACAGUGUAAGACUCUCCAUUUUCCUCUUAAACGUUUCCUCUUUUCGGUUGGAGUCCAUAACAAACAGUGGGAGGGACUUUGAACCCAUUUAUUUGUCUACAUCCAUGCCAGGUCCAGCAAAACUUAAGCUGCAGGGAGUGGGAGCCACACGCUUGCCAACCUCGGCCCAAAGCCUUGGCAGGGCACUAACAGCUGUAAGCCGCCCCCCUGUGGUUCUGGCAUUUCUAAUAAAUCAAUGAGUGAAGAAAAUUCACUGAGCACUCUGUCCUCUCUGAUCCCGGGCCUCCUUAGGGCAACUAUCGCAGCCACAACCAGCGCAAAAGCCUUAAGACGCCACAUUUUUACGACAAUGUAGAUGAUGAAACACCCAAAUGCUGCGGUUUUUACACUGAGGGCCACUAUUCUUUUUGAAGAGACUUCUUCUUAUACCCAGCCAUGUUGCUGAACGGUCACCAAUUAAACUAAUUAGGUAUGUUAUGUUGCACCAGCAUUACAUAACCUGUCCCCUGCUUCCUGGAUGUGUUACUCACAUUAAAUUCAAAAUGAUCCUUUUUUGUUUAAGACAAUCCAAAAAUCUCAGUUUCAUUUUUAUGUUAUUUUCAAACAAACAUGGGCUAAUGCAUUUCUGAAAAUCAGCACAUUCUGCUUUCUUUCUACUUGAGUUGCUGUUACUAGAGCAGAACAAAGUAAACAACACUCAAGCCCAGAGAUCUGUCAGAUUAUUCUCC